GAAGCGGAAACGAACAGAAUUGUAUGGCUACUCAACAAAUUAAUAGACCACUUUUUGCUUGGAAACCAGCUGAAAGAAACCCAUAUUUGCAGGUAUUUUGGGGGGUAACGGUAACGCCAAAUAUUUGUUUGCUUUCUUGAAGGAUUAAGACAGGUUUUUACGUUCGAAUGUGAUAGUAAAAUCAGAAGUCUUCUAAAAAUAAGAUACAAAGUGGUGAUGGCAAAUAUAUGGAGGAGCAAAUGGGACAGAAUUAAAUAUAGGGCUGCAGCUAUCGAAUAUUUUAGUUAUGGAGUAUUCGACUGAAAAUUCUAUCGUUCAAUCGAAUAAUCGGAUAAAACAUUUUUUUAAGGUAAGGAGCAAUUAUGAAUAUACACGAAAAAAGACAUUUCAUCUAAUAUUGAACCAUUUCCAGUCAAUCAAUGUCUUUAUUUUCGAUGUAAAUUGAUGAAAACAGCCAACGAUUGCAUCUCAGAAGUGACUAGAAAAAAACUGUUACUGUUUUCACUCAAAAACUUCUAGAUCUAGAUCUUAUUAAAAAAAAAAAAAAAAACUAAUUUCUUACCUAAAAAACCCAUUACGCUUGAUGACACACUAGGGCUGCAUCUAUCGAUUAUUUUAGUAGUCGAUUAAUCGAUGAACUAGUUAGUUCGAAUAAUCAAAUAAUCGGAUAAACAUGACAAAAUUUAAAUACCUUUGCUGGGCCUCAAACAGUAUGAUUAAAAAAAUUAAUAAGGAUCUACAUAUGAACAACAAAAAAACAAUUGGCUAACUUACAUAGCAAAAGUCCACUAGCUUAAAUGCAAUAAAAUACUUUUUUAUUUUUUAUUUUUAUUUUUUUACAAUGCUCAUAACAAAUGGUUCAGACACAUAUUCCCACAAAAAUUGGCUAAAUAUACCUUUAAACUAAAUACAAAUACAUUGAAAAAACAUUAGCUCAAACAAAAACCUAGCUUAUGUUGGUCUUAACAGGGAGCAGCUGGAUUUGGCUAUGUAACAUGAGGCAGACUAAAAGGCAGUGUAUCCACUCAAAUCAAUGGAACUAAAUGCAAACACUUUCAAAAACAAACCAUUACAACUAGAGGUGGGAAUCUUUGGGCACCUAACGAUUUGAUUACGAUUACGAUUCAGAGGCUACGAUUCGAUUAUAAAUCGAUUCUUGAUGACACCCCCCCCAUUAGCUGCUUUUAAUGUUUUGUACAUUAGUUACAACAACUGUAAUUAAAAAAAAAAAAAAGCCUCGCAGGCUUAAAUAAACGACUAUUUCAGUAUCAAGUUAACAGUUAAAGGGGGAGUUCACAUUUUUUGACAUCAGGCUUAAUCUUCGAGUUCGGGGGGGUUAAUUCGUCAGUGGAGUUGAUUGAAAAAAAUUACGUAUCAUUUGUUAGUCUUUUAUUAUUUUCAGGGCUCCUCAGUGAUUAUGCUAAUGUAAGUCAAUAUGGCCAACUAGCAUGCUAAUAAAAAACAAUAUUCACAGAUCUAACAUAGUCAAAUAAAUUCAAAACGCAGCUCGAUGUUCAAAAAACCCUGCAGCCAAAACAGUGUCUCACCAAACUGCUGUAAUUCAUUUAAUUCUGCAGGACUAUUUUUCCAGAUGCGUAAUGGCACCACAAUAGAGGGGAGUGCUAUGGUCACUCAUCUUCACCUCGGUCUGCUAUGCAGAGUGUUCACGGAAGGACGUCAACAUGGUGAAAUGUGCUUUUAGAAGCUGUGGAAACAGAAGCUGUGGAAACAUACAGAAGAAAUGGACAAAGGAAAGUUUCCACCGCUUGCCUGUGAAGAACGAGGAACUAUUUAAAAUGUGGUUACUUUGCUGGAUAUGACAUACACCGGGGGGAAAAGUACUGUACUGCUUUGGAGUAUUUGCAGCGCGCAUUUUCAUCAGUAUCCUCUCCUGAAACCAAAUGCUGUACCUUCGACUGUCCAAACGUCUUCAAGAGCUUCUGAUAAACAGGUGACCUGGAGAUGCUUUAGGUACACCCAGAAGAGGCUCCACUUUGUUUUCAACUCCAUGAAGGCAAGGGCGCCAGCAUGCGAGGAAUGCUGAUGGGACUUCGAGAUACAGCUUUGACUUUCCAAAGCAAACAAAAAGAUGGGUUGCCUGGAGGAGUUACGAGCCAACAACGCAGACAUUCUGACAGAAUUUGGUGGCGCAUGUCCUGGAAAGACUGCAGGAUUCAUCAGUGAAGUUUGCUGAUCCAGACUUUUAUUUCAAGCCUCCAACUACAAUUCCCCAGGCAUUAAAAGGCCUUAUGAAGAAAGUCAUUUUACAUGUCAGCAGAUUUAAAAAAUAAUUAGGCUGACAUUUUCCUUUUUAAUAAAUAUUUCUGAAUGUACUAUAAUAAAAAAAACACACAUAUUGUCUUAUUUGUGAAAUGUGAAGGUUUAAAAGAUCAAAAGUUUCUGGGUAUGUAGGAGUUGUACUUAGAACAAUUGCAGAGCAUCUUCAGUUUCCCUAAAACCAUUGUAGUUCCCACUGACAGAAGUGCACUUGUCACGGAUGCAGGAGACUACACAUGAUGGAAGAACACGUCGCUGGCCUCUUCACAGAUGUUUGCCUUUCAACGCCCACUCAAGAACAACCAGUCGGAGUUGCCUAAAACAACAAAACCAUAAUACAGGGUGAUUAAAAAAGAAAGUGCCAAAAUCAUCAUGUGAUAGAUCAAAAAAUUAUAUAUAUUAUUUAAAAAAAGUUACAGAGCUCUAGCUUGGACACAUGUUCAAUAUUCUCAACAAAUAAGCAGCACUCUACUAUAUGCAGCAGGAUUCAAAAUGAGGGGGGAAAAGUAGCGGCUUAUAGUCCGCAAAUUACGUAACUUCAAGUUUUUAAAUUAAGUGCUCUAAGGUGACAAUCACCGGCAAUUGAAAUACAUGAAAUAACACUUGAAGUUAUCUUCAACACAUUUGCCUAUGUCAGUUUCAUAAUG